GACGUCGUAUAUCGACGUCAUAAACACCAAAGUUGAUCGUGUUUAUGACGUCGAAUAUGGGCGUCAUCAACAGCAACGCUGAUCGUGUUUAUGACGUCGAAUAUCGACAUCAUAAACACCAAAGUUGAUUGUGUUUAUGACGUCGAAUAUCGACGUCAUAAACACCAAAGUUGAUCGUCUUUAUGACGUCGACGUCAUAAACACCAAUGCUGAUCGUAUUUAUGACGUCGAAUAUCGACGUC
rnacentral:miRNA from 1 species